GUUAGAGGAGGCAGGGUAGCCUAGUGGUUAGAGGGGGGAGGCGGGGUAGCCUAGUGGUUAGGGGAGGUGGGGUAGCCUAGUGGUUAGGGGGAGGCGGGGUAGCCUAGUGGUUAGGGGAGGCGGGGUAGCCUAGUGGUUAGAGGGGGGAGGCGGGGUAGCCUAGUUGUUAGAGGAGGCAGGUAGCCUAAUGGUUAGGGGAGGUGGGGUAGCCUAGUGGUUAGGGGUGGCGGGGUAGCCUAGUGGUUAGGGGUGGCGGGGUAGCCUAGUGGUUAGAGGGGGGAGGCAGGUAGCCUAGUGGUUAGAGGGGGAGGCAGGUAGCCUAGUGGUUAGAGGGGGAGGCAGGGUAGCCUAGUGGUUAGGGGCGGCGGGGUAAAAGCGUUGGACUAGUAACCGAUAGGUUGCUCGAUGGAAUCCCCGAGCUGACAAGGUAAAAAUCUGUCGUUCUGCUCCUGAACAAGGCAGUUAACCCACUGUUGCCCCCGUAGGCCGUCAUUGAAAAUAAGAAUUUGUUCUUAACUGACUUGCCUAGUAAAAUAAUUAUUUUUAAAUAAAUGUGUAUGCAGAAAUAAAAAGCACUGGGGAGCAGCAUUAUAACAUGUGCCAGCCAUCCAGUCCUUUAGUAUGUCUUAGCUCCAGUAUUCUCCAGUUUUAGGAUUAGCAUAUCAGUCUCCUUUUUCUUCAUGCGUUGAUGUGAGGUCUUCCUAGCUACAGAUCAGGAAGUAUUACAGUCUGGGACGGUAUUGUUAUCAUUGCCAAAUGCCUUGGGGAAGCUCUCUCUCUCUCUGUACUCCUGAACCCUGUACAUGACACCUGUGAUCAUUAUUACAACUUAAACCCUGUGAAUCACACAGAAAUGAUAACUCCAGUCAUACGGUAAUGCUGAUGACUCCGAUAUCCCCUUUAGAUGAAGACACACGGAUACACGCUACACACACACACACACACAGGAGAUGAACUCCCGGGGACCUCUCUCUGAUGAUGAAGGGAUGAUUCAACCAUCCCAGCAGCUCUCUCUUCACUUCACCGCUGCACACACACACUGCACACACACACACACACACCGCACACAUAUUGCACAGACACACACACUGCACACACGUUGCACACACACACACACUGCACACACAUUGCACACACACACACACACACACACACUGCAUACACACACACCACACACACUGCACACACAUACACACACACACACACACACACACUUCACAGACACACACACUACAUACAAACUACCUACACACACACUUCACACUACACACAACACUACACACAACACACU
rnacentral:lncRNA from 1 species